GGUGGUUCUCAGGUGAUGCACCCUGGAAUUGGGCUCCCUCCUCUCUGGUUCCGGGUGCGUCAGCCGAGAACCACA
rfam:Myotis lucifugus cont2.8951, whole genome shotgun sequence.